rnacentral:lncRNA from 1 species
GUACAACAUUGCCAAAUGUCAUGCCGAAAACAGGAAAGCUUUCCUGGGCCCUGGAUGUAAAGGCCAGGGAGCAACGCAAGGAGAAGUCUGCAAGGAAAAUUACAGCAACACAGAAGCCUGUGCUGGCCUGGUGCAAUCCCUUCUGCAGUUCUUACAGGAAGCAAAAGAAAUAGCAGUCCAGCAGUGGGCCUGGCCUCCACGCCACACCUCCUUCCACGUCUGCAGUUGGAGCAGGAAGGGCAGUGGUGGGGCCGACUCCCUGACAGGGAUCAGAACAGUACAUUUCAAGAACAAAGCCUGUGCCGUUUACCUGCAGAUCAAAGUUGGCUCUUAAUAAGAUGUGUGUCGGAGGGGGCAGAGAGAGGACUGUUUCCCUUUAUUCCAUUAAAAAGGGAUUAUGAGGUGACUGACCAGUCGAUUAGUCCCUGAAGAGCGAGACAAAGAAGGCUGAGGUAGAAGGCCCUGCAUACAUAAAGGAUCGUGAGAAGUUCAAACAGGACACAUGGAGAACCUGAAGGAUGGGGCUCUAACAGUCCCAGGUGGAUCUCUGGCUCCUCAGCGAUGGACAUUUAGCCAUUGCCGGUGAAGGUGUAGGAUAGUGACUGGGCCCUGGGGCAGCCAACCUGGUUCCACUGCACAGGUCUUUGGUGCGCUGGGGUUCCCAGGGACUGUGCUUGACUGUGUCCCCCGGUCGCCUGCCCCAAUGGCCAGGGAGUCCUUCUUGCUGUGUCAGCAAGGAGAUCUCUGACUCUCCCUUUAACACCAGGCUGCCUCAACACCAUGGCAUCAGAGCAUCCUGAAAGAUCCCAAGAGCUAUUCCAGUUCAUCCCUCUGCUUCUGAAAAGGAUUUUUCCUAAGAAAAGAUUUCUCCAACUCCUUCAGCCUCCCGUUCCAAUGUCAUAUCAUCCUUUCCGUGAAGAUACACUUACUCAAAUCUGAUAGAAACCCUUCAUGCUAAAAAGGCCUGAAUUCUCAGUUGUGUUUUCAUGUGUGGUGGAACAGUAGUCAGCUCUGAGGAUACUGCCUCAGACACCUGUGACUCAGCCACACUUAGUCCCCGGAGUCAGCAUUUGCCUCCUGGCUCUACUCCUUGUGAGCAUAGUGAUAUUAGGCUAAUUACUCAAACUUUCAGGUUCUCACCUGUAAAAUGGGCACAAUGAUAGGCCUUACGUGUGAAUUCAUUUUGAGGAUUAAAUAUAGAUAAAAGGCUUCAUACAGUGCCUAGCUCAUCAUAAAUGCUUACCAAAUUUUAGCUUAAAAAAUAAAGUGAAAAAAAUGCCUAAUUUCAUCUGCAUCUGAGGUUAAUUUGUACACAAUUUAGAGACUAACAAACCUCUGGUCAACAUUGCCAGGGAGAACCAAAAAAAGCAAAUGCCUAAUAGUAAUUUAAAAAAAGCAAAUAGUAAUUACACUUUUAGUUUUCUUAUUUUCUACCACUUUGCAGAAGAGUAGAACAUUCACUCUUAAGUGGCGGUUAUAUAUCAGUUAUAAAAGUGUUAAAUCCGUGAAGGCAAAGAAAAAAGAAGAAAGAGACAGGAACCGUCCUGCUGUUGCCAUGGUAACGAGGCAGGUUACCUGGACAAAGAUUUUGGAAAUCUCUUAAAAGAAUAGCCAGAGAUGUUUCUGUCUAUUUUGGGAAGGACAAAGUCUUCCUUUAUCCUCCGCUAAAGACACACAACCACUUGUUUGCUGAAUAUCUCCCAAUUAACUCAGGGCUUGAUCUGAGAGGAGGCAGGAUGUCAUGAGCAGGCAGGUGGCGGAAUGGAAAGGAUCUUGGCAGGGGGCUGCAAGGUAAAGGCAAAUAUCAGUGGAAAAUGCAAGAUCAAACUGCCCAGGAUGGCUAUUGUUUCAUUUAAAAUGUCCAAAGAGCGUUCAUUAAAACAUCAUUCUCACACAGGAAGACCCCCAACUCGUACAGAUUAAGUUUACAAGAAAUUGAAUCCUUAACCAAUAACACUUCCAUUUUUAUUAACAUUACUGACACGAAGUGAUUAAAAACUCUGGUGGGCAAGACUUUCUCUGAAAGUUAUUAUUUAUAUGUAAAGGAAUAAAGAGCUCACGAUGCAUUAA